UACGAAGGGUGCUAGCGUUGUUCGGAAUGACUGGGCGUAAAGGGCGCGUAGGCGGUUCAUACAGUCAGAUGUGAAAUUCCCGGGCUUAACCUGGGGGCUGCAUUUGAUACGUGUGGGCUUGAGUGAGGAAGAGGGUUGUGGAAUUCCCAGUGUAGAGGUGAAAUUCGUAGAUAUUGGGAAGAACACCGGUGGCGAAGGCGGCAACCUGGUCCUUUACUGACGCUGAGGCGCGAAAGCGUGGGGAGCAAACAGG
rnacentral:rRNA from 1 species